rnacentral:rRNA from 1 species
UACAGAGGGGGCAAGCGUUGUUCGGAAUCACUGGGCGUAAAGGGUGCGUAGGCGGGUCUUUAAGUCAGGGGUGAAAUCCUGGAGCUCAACUCCAGAACUGCCUUUGAUACUGAAGAUCUUGAGUUCGGGAGAGGUGAGUGGAACUGCGAGUGUAGAGGUGAAAUUCGUAGAUAUUCGCAAGAACACCAGUGGCGAAGGCGGCUCACUGGCCCGAUACUGACGCUGAGGCACGAAAGCGUGGGGAG